ACGAACGCUGGCGGCGUGCCUAAUACAUGCAAGUAGAACGCUGAAGGCGGAGCUUGCUCUUCUGGAUGAGUUGCGAACGGGUGAGUAACGCGUAGGUAACCUGCCUGGUAGCGGGGGAUAACUAUUGGAAACGAUAGCUAAUACCGCAUAACAGUAGAUGUUGCAUGACAUUUGCUUAAAAGGUGCAAUUGCAUCACUACCAGAUGGACCUGCGUUGUAUUAGCUAGUCGGUGGGGUAACGGCUCACCAAGGCGACGAUACAUAGCCGACCUGAGAGGGUGAUCGGCCACACUGGGACUGAGACACGGCCCAGACUCCUACGGGAGGCAGCAGUAGGGAAUCUUCGGCAAUGGACGGAAGUCUGACCGAGCAACGCCGCGUGAGUGAAGAAGGUUUUCGGAUCGUAAAGCUCUGUUGUAAGAGAAGAACGAGUGUGAGAGUGGAAAGUUCACACUGUGACGGUAUCUUACCAGAAAGGGACGGCUAACUACGUG
rnacentral:rRNA from 1 species